rnacentral:rRNA from 1 species
UACGGAGGGUGCAAGCGUUAUCCGGAUUUACUGGGUUUAAGGGGUGCGUAGGUGGAUAAUUAAGUCAGUGGUGAAAUCUUCAGGCUUAACCUGGAAACUGCCAUUGAUACUAUUUAUCUUGAAUACUUUGGAGGUAAGCGGAAUAUGUCAUGUAGCGGUGAAAUGCUUAGAUAUGACAUAGAACACCAAUUGCGAAGGCAGCUUACUACACAGUAAUUGACACUGAGGCACGAAAGCGUGGGGAUCAAACAGG